rnacentral:tRNA from 1 species
GCUACCGUAGCUCAGCUGGUAGAGCAACUGAUUCGUAAUCAGUAGGUCGCAGGUUCGAAUCCCGUCGGUAGCUCCA